CAAAAUAUAUAUAUAUAUAGAGAGAGAGAGAGAGAGAGAGAGGGAGAGAGAGAGAGAAGGAGAGGUGAGGUUGCUUUAAUCUAGCCAAAAACAGACACCGGGGAAAGAAACAUCAUUGGGCAGCGUGCCAUUGCCAUUCCUGGGCAGCGUGGUGGCAACAUCACAAAAGGGUCCUUCCCACUAUGCCACUCUUGGCCCAUAUCACACAGCUCACAUUAUCAAUGUCCUUCCCACCCUUCAUGAGGGGAAUGUGCCAGGGUGCUGCAGGUUUGUUAUCAUAUGGGACAGCGUGAGUUUCCUCUCGGCUGCUGUGAUCCAGAAUUGGUUUGACAAUCACCCACAAUUUCAAGCUCUCUACUUUCCAUCUCACUCUUCUUUCCUGAACCCUAUUGAGGUGUUCUUUUCGGCGUCCCGUUAGAAGGUAUAUGACCACCAAUCCCACCAACCUCUCCUCCAGACGACGGAAUGUGGCGAUAUUGAUGUGGAGGCAUGCCAGGGCUGGGUAUGCCUCUCAAGACCGUACCUCCCCCGAUGUUUGGCCAGAGAGGACAUCGCUUGUGAUGUUGAUGGGGUGCUGUGGCCAGAUACACACCAAAGACCGUACCUCCCCAGAUGUUUGGCCAGAGAGGACAUCGCUUGUGAUGUUGAUGGGGUGCUGUGGCCAGAUACACACCAAAGACCGUACCUCCCCAGAUGUUUGGCCAGAGAGGACAUCGCUUGUGAUGUUGAUGAGGUUCUGUGGCCAGAUGCACACCAAAGACGGGCUGGGCUGUAAUUGCAAUAUACUGUUUUUUGUUUACAAUACAGUAACUAUGUUCAUGUCAUCGUCAGUUAUAGAAAUACCAUUUUUAGAAGAGUUUAUGUAGUUUUGAAAGGAAUUGCUUUUGCAAGAGAUGUAAGAUAUUCUGUAUUUUGUGUAUAUGUUUUUGAUUUGUGUCUGUAGAGUUUCGACAAAGAGGGCCCUAGUUUUAGAGAUUUGGUUUCAGCAAUAGUAAAAAACUGUAAACUUAAAGGGAAGAGCAAAUUAGUAUGAAUGCAUACUGAAACAAUUCGUAUUUUCAGACAUCCAGUAUCUUAAAGGAGGUUUAACUGUGCACUAGUUCUCAUGUCUCUGCACGCAGUGAUGGAAGCUUAUACAGGUUACUUUGUAAUCACUUUAAUCUACUAAAUGGUCUGUGGGUACCUCAAGUCAGUCAUUCUUUAAUCAUUCUCCAAGUUUUCCCUGAUGUAGAAUGUCUUAAAUCCAUUAGUGUGAUUUCCUUUACACUCUGUGGCUCAUGCUCUCUGAAAUCGAAACUCAGAUCUUAAGAGAGAGUCUUCUAAGAGGGAGUCUUGAUGAGGACGGCAGAGGAAGAGCACCACAGGAAAGGAUUAUGGAAAACAAAUGUGAUGAAAAGAUUAACUCGCUUAAUAACAACACAGGUCACAGCACCCAUUUCAUACAAUGAACCAGAAAGAAAGGACGUCUGUGUUUAUCAAGUAAUCCUUCCACAAACUGUGUUUUCAGUACUGUGCAAAUGUAGCAGGCCUUCCUCGGACAAACUCAAGUAGUUAAAUUCACUGAAAUACGUCACACAAAAAUGUUUUAUUUAAAACAUUACAUGUGACUUGGAAAUUAUUUGGUAGAUUACGUCAAUAAAAAAAUCGCGAAAUAGUUUAUUCAUUCCAGUGAAGAACCUUUGAAGUCCUCUUAAACACCAGAUGUGUGUAUUAAAGCACUGGGCAUAAAUCAACAAAAGAUUUGUUGUGCACAUAUGAAUAAGAAACAGUGUGUUUAUACUCUUUAAAAGCGCCCUGGGGACACUGGUAUGCCGUCCGAGGCAUACUUGAUCUCAGGCCCAGCGAUUGAUGAAACCCGCAACCCCCCCGGGAUGGUCCAAGAUGACGACGAGUCAGUUAGAAUGGAAGCUUUCAGCUCCAAACCAGACGCCUGCCUCCUGUGACAAAGCUAGUCCCCUAAAAGUGAUGAAAACCUUUUAUGCUCACUGAACAUUUUAGACAAUGGGGCACACAAUAGUUGUUUCACAUUACUGUAGUGUAAUGUAAUUAUGAAUGACAUUAUCUCACUUGUAGGUCAGAAGGUUGAAAUAAAUGGACACUAGCUGUGGCUGUGGCUGUGGCUCUAGCUUGCGAGACAGCGUUGGCACUUACUCGUGGUUAAUGACCGUCAGAGAACAAACUGAACUUGGCACCUUUCACCUCUGACCUAGCGCAUGUUUCCUAAUUGGACCAACUGUGGGAAACCUGUGAAUAACAGUCAAUGUUAGCUUCAAAUAUGCGACAGCAUCAAGACUCAUCGUAUGUCCGGCAGUGCUAUUAUAGUUAACAAAAACUAAGACAAAAAAAUAAAACUAGCACUGCAAAAAUGUAUUUUGUUCACUUAAAUAGAAAUGACAGUUUUCAAAAACAGUAAAUAAAAACUACAAUGAACAAUGCCACACACAGUAAAUCAUUCCUGAAAAAAAACUACUUAUGCACUCAUGAAACUAACUAAAACUAAACAGAGAUAAAAAAGCAAACUGGAAGACUAAAUUAAAUUAAAAGCCAAUAUAUAUUUCAAAAGUUUGAUAACUUCAGAAGGCUAGUUUCUACUCAUAUAGUCCAUAAUUAGUUCUGAUGAUGAAUUCAGUCUGACCACUCGUAUGAUAUGGUUUUCAAAACCAUUAAUUUUUCUAUUUACAACCAGAAUACGUUUUUUUCCCCUAAUAUUACUGCCACUUUCCAGAGCUAUGAAACUCCCCAAAUGACACCCAGUUCAUGUCAUAAACUUGAAGAAAGACAGCCUGUUACAAGGCGUUUAUAUGGAAACUGAUGAGAACUAAAUUCCUUGGAGAGUACUCCCUGAAAUAGGUCCUUCAAACAGCAACAAUCAAUCACGUCUCUGAGGCCUCUGAGGCCCUCUCUAUCUCAGGCUCUCCUUCGCGCCGAGGUGGAGUGCCCCAUUACAUUCUCAGAAUCGCUCUGAUUCAUCCAGCUCAUCAAUCCCGUUUUCUGCACAAAAACAACUAAAAAACACGUAGCUCAUGUGACCAAUACCAAUGAGUGGUGUGGCAGUCCCUUGGUGGCAUUCCAGUGAAUAGGACUGCAGAGCCUUGGACCCAGAGACAUUUAAUGAGGACUUGAUCUCUGAAACAGUCGAUGGGGAAUGAAGUCUGAAAAUGAAACACUUUGAUCUUGGUAUCCCCAAAUACUGUAGAGGGAGGUGAGAAGAUUAGGUCUCAUUGAACAACUCAUAAGCUCAGCUGCACCAUAGACAAUGCAGCAUACAGGCCUUCAUAUUACGCCGAAUACAAUGACAAAUAGAGGUUUGGACACGGACAUAUCUACUCUUAGUGGUGCUGUGUUCCAUCUCGAACACAAACUACAAUGUAACUAAUGGGAGCAUAUUGGGAUUUGCUUGGUUCAUGAUUGAAGUAACAUUUUUAAAAGAGCUGAUGUAUCUUUUCUGAAGAGGAUCGAUUCAGAGGGGGUUAAAAAACAAGGAAACAAAAAAGAAGCUGAUUUCAACUGCUCUGUCAUCUGUUUUUAAAAAAAAAAAAAUGUAACUCAAUGAAAAUGCAAUGACUGUAAUUAACCCUAAUGCCAAAAGUGGUUUGUAAAUGGUUGCUCAUUCAACACUGCCAGCAUUGCCAUACUCACACACAGACGCUUUGAUUUAUGUUGUUGAGCGGAGCACGACUCUUAAAUGUCACAAGUCAAUUAACACAGUAACAUAACAGGAUUAGAUGGUGGAUCGAGUCGUUUAAAGGCGGAGGCUUAAUUAAUCAGUUUCCAUGUGGCUACUUUCAUUUGCAUGAUUUGCGAGCCACAGUGUUAUAAUUUUAGACUGAGAGACAACACAGUUACAGGAAGUCUGAGCAGUGCAGGUUUGAGUUUCUUUUGGUCUCUUGUACCAUUGAAGAGGAAGGAUAAUUUCUUGUUUAUAGGCAAUGAGUAUGGAGGUUACAUAAUUAUACAUAAUUAAUACGACUGUCAUUGAUUGUGUUGUAUAGAGAAAACUUUGUAUUAGAUUAGAUUUUAAAGUCAUGCUUUCUGCUGCUGAUGAAUAAAUAACAAGCUUGCAAUUCUGUCAUGAAACAAAAAUACAUUGAUUACAUUUAUAAACAAACAAAUUAACAAAUCACAACUUUUUCUGAACCAGCGGCAGUAAAUGGGAACAUUGGCAAAUAUUGUGUAAUUGGUUGCUUUUGAUAGUUUAGUCUCCCCCCCCCCCCCCCCCCCCCCU
ensembl:lncRNA